rnacentral:rRNA from 1 species
CCUAAUACAUGCAAGUCGAGGGGUAUGAUUUUGAGUUUACUUGAAAUCAGAGACCGGCGCACGGGUGCGUAACACGUAUGCAACCUACCCUUUACAGGGGGAUAGCUCAGAGAAAUCUGAAUUAAUACCCCAUAGUUACAUUUCGCUGCAUGGUGAGAUGUAUAAAGCUCCGGCGGUAAAGGAUGGGCAUGCGUUACAUUAGCUAGUUGGUGAGGUAAUGGCUCACCAAGGCUACGAUGUAUAGGGGUUCUGAGAGGAUGAUCCCCCACACUGGUACUGAGACACGGACCAGACUCCUACGGGAGGCAGCAGUAGGGAAUAUUGGACAAUGGACGCAAGUCUGAUCCAGCCAUGCCGCGUGCAGGAUGACAGCCCUCUGGGUUGUAAACUGCUUUUAUAUGAGAAGAAACCCUCAGAUGCGUUUGAGGCUGACGGUAUCAUAUGAAUAAGGAUCGGCUAACUUCGUGCCAGCAGCCGCGGUAAGACGAAGGAUCCAAGCGUUGUCCGGAUUUACUGG